rnacentral:rRNA from 1 species
AUACGGAGGAUCCGAGCGUUAUCCGGAUUUAUUGGGUUUAAAGGGUGCGCAGGCGGCCAUUUAAGUCAGCGGUUAAAUCGUGGGGCUCAACCCCAUUCUGCCGUUGAUACUGGGUGGCUUGAUUGCGGUCGAGGUUGGCGGAAUUCGUUGUGUAGCGGUGAAAUGCAUAGAUAUGACGAAGAACACCGAUUGCGUAGGCAGCUGACCAGACCGCAAAUGACGCUCAUGCACGAAAGUGCGGGGAUCGAACAGGAUUAGAUACCUUGGUAGUCCGCACAGUAAACGAUGAAUACUUGUUUUCGGCGAUAUAAUGUCGGAGGCAAAGCGAAAGCGAUAAGUAUUCCACCUGGGGAGUACGCCGGCAACGGUGAAACUCAAAUGAAUUGACGGGG